rfam:Saprolegnia diclina VS20 unplaced genomic scaffold supercont1.24, whole genome shotgun sequence.
AUACUUACCUGACUAGGGUUGGACCGUGCUCAUGCAGGCGGUUCACCUAGGCCGGAGCAGGCCUUCAUGCACUCCGGUGCUGUAAUGGCCUAGGAGUGCCUUCGGGUUCCUCCAUAGUGCAAUUUUUGCCAGCGGGGGUGUGCGCGUGCGCCACCCCCAC